ensembl:lncRNA
GGGCUGCGUGUGGCCUUGCUCUGGGGGCCCCUCCUGAACUGGCCUCCCUGCGUCCACGUCAGGCACGGUGUGUGCCACGGGGUGCAGCACGGGGAAAGCUGCGGCGCGGCCUGUUUGCAGCCAGGUCGCAGUCACAGGUGCCUGGCCUCAGCACAAGUGACGGGGAUGAGGAAGGGAUGGCAGAACCCGGCCCAGACGGCCCGGAUGCUGAGGACUGGCAUAGACACAACUGUGACCAGCACCUGGAAAGCUGGUGA